CUGCUGCCUCCCGUAGGAGUUUGGUCCGUGUCUCAGUACCAAUGUGGGGGGGUUGACCUCUCAGUCCCCCUAUGUAUCGUCGCCUUGGUGAGCCGUUACCUCACCAACUAGCUAAUACAACGCAUGUCCAUCUCUGACCACCUGAGUUUUCAACCACCGAAGAUGCCUCCGGUGAUGUUAUGGGGUAUUAGUACCAAUUUCUCGAUGUUAUCCCCCUGUCAAAGGUAGGUUACAUACGCGUUACGCACCCGUCCGCCGGUCGCCGGCA
rnacentral:rRNA from 1 species